GUUGUAUUAGUAAAGCAUAUUGCAUUUCUAAGAGAUCACUUUAGACCAGGGAUCACCAACCCUGUUCUUGGAGAGCUACCAUCCUGCACAUUUCAGUAGCAACCUCAAACACACCUGUCUGUAAUUAUCAAGUGCUGUUUCAGGUCCUAGUUAAUAAGUUUCAGGUUUGAUCAGGGUUGGCGCUGAAUCCUGCUGGAAGGUAGAUCUCCAGGAAUAGGGUUGGUGACCCCUGGUUUAGACCACGUCAGUGUUAGGCCUUAGUUCAAUUAGGACAUUUAAGUAGCUUUUAUAAACGUGUCUUAGAAAAAUACAUUACUGGUGUGCAUCUUCAGAUGAAACAUCGAAACUGACAUAUUUUAAGAUCUGCUAUCAGUGAGAUGUGAAGUUGUGUUGUUGUUAAUUUUUGUUCUUAUUUUCCUAAGCAGAUUCUGUCAUUUCACGGUGAACUACUCCCCUUCGGGAUGCCAUUAAUCACAUCCUUGCAGGAAGAGACGAGAAUUCAAAGUCAGAACUCAAAUAUAUGAAUCCAGUUAAAGAUACAGAAUUGAGAGCAGUCAGUCAUCCAAUCCCUCACCAAACUGAGCAUGAGGUGCAUUGUGUCUGAGGUCAGUGUGGCACUUCAUCUGCCAAAGAGGAAUUUGGAGAAGUUGGUGUCCAGCACCAGGAAGUGUCACCCGCUGUUCUUCUUCACAGACGUUACCAGUGAGGCCGAAUCAAGAUCAGCGGUUCAGUCACCCAGAGCUGCAACUCUGCUUGUUAGGCGAGUUUGAAUUUACCUUUGCUUUGACAUGGACCAGUGGUUAGAGUGCUGUGAUGUUCCAUUAGAACACAUUUUCAGUGUUUUUAGUAGCUGUGGUGAAAAUGUCCUCUAUUCAGUAUGGAUGGUCUUUUCUAACCAUGGUGUCCCCCCAACACGUGUGUUUUCCUGUGUGUGCCACACACUGGACUUCAGUGGAAGAAUCAGGAUUUGAGCA